UAGCGAACAACUGAGGUGUGGGGUGUCAUCCCCGUAUAGAUCUAUACACGAAUCCCCGCUCUCCCUCCAAGAGACUCCGGUUAUAACUACAGACUACGAUCGUACACUUAAUAGGUGCCAACCGACAAAAACUCGCUAGAUACCUAAUCAAAUUUAUGCGAAGAAAAAGGUAUAAACUCAUUCCAGGACCAAUGAUCCAUGUAAGUGAACCACUACGACAUUGCUAAACAUGUAAAUCAUUUAAAGACCCAAAUGGAAUGAGAUUAUAUAACAUGGGCCCGAAAUAUAUAUGAAAGGACAACUAAGGCCCAUUUCACAUGUAAAGUAUUUACAGGCCCAAAUAGCACACAAAUAGUAUCCAAGGUCCGUCGCACAUGUUAAUGGGUCAAUGAGGCCCAAUAAACAUAUACAGGACCUCUCACACAUAAAAAUGGGCCACUAAGGCCCAAUAACCUAGAAAAUGAUCAAAUUAAAUCCAUUUGUUGGUUUAUCAUUGGUUUUGGCUCAAGUAUUUACUAAAAUAUCAUAAAAAGAAGAAUGCAUAUAAAACCCAAUCCUAGGCCCAAUAAACAUGUAAGUGGACCACUAAGGCCCACUAUACGUGUCUAUUAUUUCCAGGCUCAAAAGGAAUGUGAAUGUCUAUCCUAAGCCCAAUAUACAUGUAAAAGGACACUAAGGCCCACUAAACAUGUAUAUUAUUUCCAGGCCCAAUAAGGAUAUGAAUAUCGUUUUUAACCCGUUUGUUAUUGUUUUGUUUAUUUUAGCUUGAUUAUUUACAUAAUUGAUAUCUAAAGCCCAAUUUUUGUAAAAAUUACGUUCUUGGCCCAAUAAGCCAAAAAUUUACAAUUAAGGCCCAAUUUUUGUAAGAAUAACACUUUAAUAUCCAAUUUUGUUAAAAACUUGUGUUGAUGACUACUUUGUGAUAAAAAUAGCAUUUUAAACCCAUUUUUGUCAAAAAUAUCAUUUUUGGCUUGGUUUUUGUGAAAAUACACAUUUUUCUGGUUUUUGGCUUUUCCGACCUAGUUUUUAGAAAAUUUGUAGAAAAUUCAUUGUAAGUCAAAAUCUGGAUCCGUAAAUUUUGGAAGUUUGGAAAUUUUGUCUACUUUGUUCAAAAUUUUUCUCAUAAUUUUUGAUGGCCUCAAACUAGUGUGAAAUUACUCAUCUUCACAGGUUGGUCCGAAAUUAUUUUAAAUAUGAUAGGCAGUUUUGUAAAAUUCGCCAAACAUUGUAGAAAAAUCGUAUGAAAACAUGAGAGUAGUCAUUUUAAAGGUAUAAAUCUGAAAUUUAUCCAUGUAAAACAGUUUUGAAAAAUUAUUCCAUUUGGAGCGUCAAAACAGUCCGAGAAUGGACCAAAACUUUUCUGUCAAGGGCUGUUUUGUGAGUUUAGUUUAUAGAUCUUUGAACCCAACACUCAUUUUUGCUAUAUCAAGUAUACAAAUCCCAGAUCUACAAGUUUACAUGUAUUAUAUGAGAUAAGACAUACUUUUCUCAUGUUUCAUAUGAAGAUCCUAGUGAGUCACUUCAAGUUUAUUAACAUAUUUUUAGAUUAGUGAAGAAAUCAACACAUAAUCACCAAAACAUACUUGUCAGCAUACCUCUUUUGUCGGUCUUGUGAUGCUUGAAGUCGAGUUCUGAUUUGGAUUAUCUUCUCUGUCGUCUUGCGAAUAGUUUUCUGGUCCCGUGUGAUUACUAGUGAGUGAUCUGCAUUUAUGACUAGAAGGAGUUUCGGAAAGAGCAACCUUGAUGUUCACGCGAUAGCUAUUAUUGGGUGAGAAUUUAAUCAAAGGCAACCAGGUAUCCCUUAACUUGUUGAAUUCAAACACCCAGACUUGUAGCAGGUCUUCGAGUGGUUGAAUGGUUCGUUCACUUUGGCUAUUGGUUUGAGGGUGGUAAGCAACGCUUAUACUUAGCUCUGUUCCUAUAGCCUUCUGAAAUGGCUGUCAAAGUCUUGAAGAAAUUUUUUUAUCUCUAUCCGAGAUAGUAGAUACUGAUAUUUCAUGGAGUCUCACGAUCUCCUCGAUAUAGAUCCAAGCUAACCUUUUUGUCUUGUUUGGUUUCUGUACUAGCAGAAAAUGGGCAGAUUGGGUUAACCUCUCGAUGAUCACCCAAAUAAUGCCCAAUUCAACUCGCAUACCUAUAAGCUUCGUCUUUCAACUCCGAGAGUUUUAUCCAUCCACGUAGUGUUUUCUUUGCGAUGUUCUCUGACUUUGAUGCUUUCAAGGCUGGUCGUAGAUGUUGACAGUGUUUUGUUCUUGCUUCGCAAGUAGAUGAGUAUGCUAUUGACGAAAAUAAUAAAAAGGUUGAUUAGGAGUGGUUGAGAAAACUUGGUUCGUAGGGUCCAUGAAUAGCGUGGGAACAUUCGUUAGACCGAAGGGUAUCACAAUGAAUUUGAAAUGGUCGUGACGAGUUCGGAAGGAAGUUUUUGGAAUGUCGUCUUCUCGGACUCGAAGUUGAUGAUAACCGGUUCUUGGGUCUAUAUUAGAGAAGUAACUAGCUCCUUGGAGCUGGCCAAAUAGAUCGUCAGUCCGAGGAAGUGGGUAUCGAUUUUUGAUAGGGAGCUUAUUCAAUUUCCUAAAAUCGAUGUACCUUCGGAAGGAUCCGUUUUCUUGAAGAGCAAGACCGGAGCACUCCAAGGUGAGAAGCUUGGUCCGAUGGAUCCUUUGUGCAACAAUUCUUCUCAAUUGACUGCAUAACUUAUGAAUUUUCGGUGGGAGUCAACCUAUAGGGUGAAUUGGCAAUUGAUGUGGUUCCUGGUAUUAGGUCAAUUCGAAAUUCUACCUGUCUUUCUGGAGGUAUUCCCGGAAGUUCUUCAGGAAAUACAUUCGGAAAAUCGCAUGCUACCUGAAUACCUUGUAUGCUUACUUCUUCCUUGGUCUUGUCUACAACAUGAGCAAGGAAAACGUAGUUCUUCUGGUGCAGGCACUUUUAUGCCUUGAUGCACGAGAUAGGACGAGGAUUGACGUUAGGUUUAUCACCAUGGGUUAUUAGAGUUUCGUGAUUGGGAAGGUGAAGGCAAACGGCCUUCUCGCGACACAUAGUAUCAGCACGGUGGGGGCUUAACCCAACCAUGCCAAUUAUCACAUCAAAACUCCUAAUAUUUACUUGCAUUAAAUUUUAUUUGAAAUGAAUGGUUGUUUAGUGUUAAGGUGUACUCCACAAAAAUAUCCUAGGUUAAUUUUGUUUUUCCCCAUUGGCCAUGUCCACUGUAAAGGCUUAGCUUAGCUUUGGGGUUGUUGUUUUAGUAAGUGCUCGAAGUUGUUACUAACGAAGCUUCACUCAGCUUCACUAUUGAAUAAGGGGUAAGCGGAAGAGUUGUUAAGUGGGAACGUACCAAUAACAAGCAUUGGGUCUUGGACUGCUUCGCCUUGACCCAAGGUUAGGACCAUUUCCGAUCCUUCUGCUCCUUGAUUGUUAUCCUUGGGGCAAUUGCGCCUGAAGUGACCGGUUCCUCCACACCCAUAGCAGGUGUGACUGGUCUCAUCAUUGGUGUUGUUGUUAGGGUUGUUGCAAUUGUUGUCAUUUUCAUUUGGCUGACGCUUCUGACAUGGAUAAGUUCUACAGAAUUUGGCCGUGUGAUUCUUUCGGUUGCAUUUGUUACAAUGCAUCUCCCGACAGGCUCCAUUAUGAUGGAAUUUGUACUGGUUGCAUUUUGGAAGGCUUUCGGCAUAUGGUCUCAUUGAUGUUGGUGUGAUAGGGGUCAUGGUUGCAUGAACAUCAACAACAUGUUGCUUCUUUGAGAACCCUUGAGUGGGUUGUCCCUUUCUCUUACUUCCAGGAUUUUGCUUCCUGCUCUUAAGCUUGGGGUUUAGUGUGCCUUGACAAGCUGUCACUUGUUGGUUCCCAUGCUCAUUCCUUUGGCUGGAGUUGUCAAUGCUAUUUCCACCUCCAUUGGGGUUGUUUGCAUUGAUUUGUGCCAUAGCAAUGGUUACUGCCGCCGUUACAGCAACUUGGAAUGUAGCAGAGUCAAUCUGCAGGAGCGGUGUCUCGCGGGUGCACUUGUUAUUCUUGCGGGAUGGCAUUUUCCUGCUACACGUUGAUAAUCUAGAUCGUAAGUAAUGAUCAUCAUUCCUGGUUGUACUCUAUAAAAUGUUCAUUUUGUUGUAUAAUUCUUACUGCUUCCAUCUACAUCCCUAUGAUGUAUUUGCGGUAGUAUGUAAUCGCAGAUUUGGCAUGAUCGUCACGUCUAUCCUUAGAAUAUAUAGGUUGUUUUGGUUUUGAGACCCUUAAGUAUCUAGCGGUUUUGAGGGUUCGCUUGUGCAUAUAAUUGAGUCUAUGUAGUAAUAUGAAAUAAAGACAACACAUAAUUGUUCCAGUGGUAAGUACCAUCUUAGUACACGAAAGAGAGUCAUGUCGGAUAGCAAGGGGGAAAAAGAAAAGGCUAAUCCUAAUUGUGGCAAAAAGUGUCUGGUGGUGGUGCUGAUGAAGUGGAUGCACCUCGGAGACGAGCUACUUGUUGUUCGGUAUCUCGUACUCGUACUUCCCAAACUAACUGUCUCGCUCGGGAGUCUCCAUUCACUUCCUGUGUUUGCCUCUCAUCUCUCUCAAUAGCAAACCACAUUGGUUCCGUUCAAUUUAGGGUGUCCUGAGCUUGGUUAUCAAUACCUCAGGUGCCCGGACCAUGACUGGGAGGGCCCGGUCAGUUGGUCCUCUGUGACUAAGAUCGAAGAGACCUCAGUUCCUACCGUAGUGUGGUUGUAUCCCCUACCGGUGACUCUAUCUCCAAAUAUUGUGUGCCUAAAGGGGCAUGGGGCCACCGGGGCCCACACGAUAUGUCGGUACUCUGGCUUUACAUGGAGGAUUGAUGUCAUCGGAUUCUAUAUCCGAGUCAUCAUCAUCAUUUCCCUCUGGCUCUUCCUCUUCGAGGUCCACUAUUGACUUGGUGGGUUCACCUGCAAGUUCUACUUCGUGUUCCUCCUGUGGUUCCUCCUCUGAGUCGAGCCACCCUGCUAUUCCCUGACUAGGGAGAUAGGGGUUUCUUGGCUAAUGAUACUCGUCUAUAGUGUAUUGCACGAAGGGGUAUAAAUACUAGAAACAAAUAGCAUACCAAUUACUCUUAUAGUAAUCUAAUUUUGUUUAGGUUUGGUUCUAUAAGCUCUUUGGAUAAUUAAAUGGUAAGUUUUUGAUUCAUUGUUCAUCACGACUAUUCCCAAACACAUGUUGGUCAUAUUUUGAAAGAAUGGAGUUGAUCAGGUUACAUUCACCCCCAAUACGACUACAUAACUGCCCGAGUUUAAUAGCGAUGUUCAAAUCCUCCAAAGACUUUUACUGUUCUUGUUGUGUUUUUAUUCUAAAAUGCACACAAAGGUAUGUAUUUUAAUUAUUAUGUUCAGAGUUGUUUAGUCCCAUUGUAUUUAUAGUUGCAUAUCCUGUAUGAUUAGAUAUGCUAGUUCACUAUAAACAAUGCUCUAAUACUAAUCUGUCACACCCCCGAACCAGACGGCGGAAACGUCCGGGGGCUUGUGCGUGACUUCAUCUUUAAAUAUCAUUACAGUGAAUAUAAUUGAAACAUAACAUCAUCAUCAUCACACAUGUAAUAUUACAACAUUCAUUGUUUACAUCGAGUAUUGUAUUUGAAUAUUACAUGCCAUAUAGUAAGAGUAUGAUGAAACAAAAUAUAACACAAUAUCCAUUAGUUUGUUUUGUUCAUCCCGCUUCAACGAUUUCCUGAGAAUACAAGUUAUUUUGAAAACGGUCAACAUAAAAAUGUUGGUGAGUUCAUAAGCAUGUUUGUGAAAAUGAUUUGUAUAACUUUGAAAACCACCAGAAAAUCCGAUAUUUUCUGAAAACUGUUUAGUGUGUUUGUGUUAGAUCUUGUAUUAAUGCAUGUAUGUUAUUGUUUAUUUGACUAAAACGGUAAAGAAAAUGUAGAGAGAAUGUAAGAGCAUGUAAAGAGAAUGUUCCCAGUCAACCUAAUGUUGCCUGUAAAAAAAUGGUCUUCCGUAAACUUCAUAACAUUAAUUCCUCUAAGCGAGCCGUCAUAACCAUACUAAAUAAUGACGAUUUCACCUGUCUUGGCGUCGUUGGACGCCGGUUUUGACUUUGAUUAUAAGGUCUUCGUCACCCUAGACUAAGUUAGUCUAACUGUAGCGAACAACUGAGGUGUGGGGUGUCAUCCCCGUAUAGAUCUAUACACGAAUCCCCGCUCUCCCUCCAAGAGACUCCGGUUAUAACUACAGACUACGAUCGUACACUUAAUAGGUGCCAACCGACAAAAACUCGCUAGACACCUAAUCAAAUUUAUGCGAAGAAAAAGGUAUAAACUCAUUCCAGGACCAAUGAUCCAUGUAAGUGAACCACUACGACAUUGCUAAACAUGUAAAUCAUUUAAAGACCCAAAUGGAAUGAGAUUAUAUAACAUGGGCCCGAAAUAUAUAUGAAAGGACAACUAAGGCCCAUUUCACAUAUAAAGUAUUUACAGGCCCAAAUAGCACAUAAAUAGUAUCCAAGGUCCGUCGCACAUGUUAAUGGGUCAAUGAGGCCCAAUAAACAUAUAAAGGACCUCUCACACAUAAAAAUGGGCCAUUAAGGCCCAAUAACCUAGAAAAUGAUCAAAUUAAAUCCAUUUGUUGGUUUAUCAUUGGUUUUGGUUCAAGUAUUUACUAAAAUAUCAUAAAAAGAAGAAUGCAUAUAAAACCCAUUCCUAGGCCCAAUAAACAUGUAA
rnacentral:lncRNA from 1 species